rnacentral:rRNA from 1 species
UAAUACCCUAUAGGUUACGGGUGCUGGAAUGCCCUGUAACCGAAAGUUCCGACGCCUUAGGAUGGAUCUGCGGCCGAUUAGGUUGUUGUCGGGGUAAUGGCCCAACAAGCCAGUGAUCGGUACGGGUUGUGGGAGCAAGAGCCCGGAGUUGGAUUCUGAGACACGAAUCCAGGCCCUACGGGGCGCAGCAGGCGCGAAAACUUUACAAUGCGGGCAACCGUGAUAAGGGAACCUCGAGUGCCUGUAUAUGCAGGCUGUCCAGGUGUCUAAAACACACCUGAAGAAAGGGCCGGGCAAGACCGGUGCCAGCCGCCGCGGUAAUACCGGCGGCUCGAGUGGUGGCCACUUUUAUUGGGCUUAAAGCGUUCGUAGCUGGGUUGUUAAGUCUCUUGGGAAAUCCGGCAGCUUAACUGUCGGGCGUCUAAGGGAUACUGGUAAUCUUGGAGCCGGGAGAGGUGAGGGGUACUUCGGGGGUAGGAGUGAAAUCCUGUAAUCCUCGAGGGACCACCGAUGGCGAAGGCAUCUUACCAAAACGGCUUCGACAGUGAGGAACGAAAGCUGGGGGAGCGAACGGGAUUAGAUACCCCGGUAGUCCCAGCCGUAAACGAUGCGCGUUAGGUGU